rnacentral:lncRNA from 1 species
GUUCAGUGGGUUAAGGAUCCAGUAGUGCUGCAAGCUGUGAUGUAGGCUGCAGAUGAAGCUCAAAUCUGGCAUUACUGUGGCUCUGGCUGUGGCCGGCAUUUGUGGCUCCGAUUUGACCCCUGACCUAGGAACUUCCAUAUGCCACAGGUGCGGGUUUAAAAAGAAAAAAAACAAAUUAUAUAUUUAUGUUUUUUAUCCGUCUAUUAGGUCUCAAAGUGUCCAUAAAAAUCUGAAUUACUUCAGGGUUUGACAGUUAAUCUAAAUAUCUUCCUCUGUCGUCGUCUUCUUUUUUUCUUCCUUUUCUUCUUUUUCUUUCUUCCUUUUUUGGCUGCCCUAUGGCAUGUGGAGUUCCCAGGCCAGCGGUCAGAUGUGAGCUGCAGUUGCGACCUAUGCCACAGCCGGGGCAACGCUGGAUCCUUUAACCCACUGUGCCAGACUGGGGAUCGAACCUGCAUCCUGGCGCUGUGGCGAUGCCGCCGAUCCCGUUGCACCACAGCAGGGACUCCUGUCUGCUUUUUUCAUAUUUAAAAUUUAAAAAAUUGAAGUACAAUUUACACAGAGCAAAGAGCCACCCUUUGUAGAGGUUUGAUCAUUUGCCUGCCGUCGUGUCAGCCCCAGUACCAUCAGCCGUUCCAUUACCUCCCACAUCCUCUCGUGGGCCCUUUGUAAUGGGCCCCUUCUCCCAAUCCCAGACCCAGCAACCAUCCAUCAGUUUUUCUGCCCCAUAGUUUUGCCUUUUCCAGAAUGUCGGAUAAACGGAAGCAUGCACUAUGCAGCCUUUUGAGCCUGGCUGCUUGCCCUGAGCGUGGUAUAUUUGCCCUGUGUCCUUUGUGUGGCCUGUCAUUGCUGAGUCACAGUCCAUCAUCUGGCACAGUUUAUUUGUCUCCCUCUCUGCUUUAAUCCUUCUCUUUUUAGUUCUGUGACAUCUCUUUCUAACAUUUUUGAUUUUUAAAUAUUUAAGUCUAUCCACCAGUCUUUUCCUGUGUAAUCACUGCUCUUGAGAAGAUUUUACUUAAGCCAUUCCUUUUGCAAACAGGAGAACCCUAAGAAGCCUAAUCCAUAUGUCUGUCCAUGCUCCUUUCAUAAAGUGGCUGUGAAUUGUCAUUUUCCACUACUAUGGACUGAAUCCUGGGCAUCUUGGACAAAGAGGCAUGAUCCUAGGAGCUCCCCCCAGCAGGGAGCUCUUGAUUUUAGUGGAAUUUUAGUAGUUAGUGGCAGAAACAAAACAUGUUCUCCUGGAGGUGGUGGUGGGGGGACGACCUGGUAGGGCAGGGGUGCAGCCACUCUGAGAAGGAUGAAGAAGUGAGCUGGCAUCUCACCAGGCUGGGGUCCCUUGGUACACUGAGAGCAAACAUCACUUUAAAUUCAAGGAAGUGGGGAGUUCCUUUUGUAGCUCAGUGGGUUAAGAACCCGACAUACUGUCUGUGAGGAUGCAGGUUUGAUCCCUGGCUUUGCUCAGUGGUUAAGGAUCCGGCAUUGCUGCAAGCUGCAGUGUAGGUCGCAGACAUGGCUCGGAUCUGGUGUUGUCAUGGCUGUGGUGCAGACGUAAGCUGCAGUUCCAAUUCGACCCCUAGCCCAGGAACUUCCAUGUGCUGCAGCUGCAGCUGUAAAAGGAAAACUAAAAUUGAAGGAAGUGGUUUGUUUUUAUACCAGCCGAAUACACACGUAAUCAGAUGUUCUCCUUGACAACUUCUGAAAGCAACCGAUGGAGUUUUUCUUUAUUCUGUUUGUUUGGNNNNNNNNNNNNNNNNNNNNNNNNNNNNNNNNNNNNNNNNNNNNNNNNGCGGGAUCCGAGCCGCGUCUGCAACCUACACCACAGCUCACGGCAACGCCGGAUCGUUAACCCACUGAGCAAGGGCAGGGACCGAACCCGCGACCUCAUGGUUCCUAGUCGGAUUCGUUAACCACUGCGCCACGACGGGAACUCCCGAUGGAGUUUUUCUUUGUCCAGGCCAUUAUUAGGAUUGGGCUUUCAUUGCUUGGAGAUAGGGGAGCAUCCCAUAAGCAUUUGGGACCCGAUUUACAUAAGGACUCUGGUAACCUGCAGGAAGGGGAGCCUGGGACAAAGAUUCUGUUUGUUUGGGUUUUUUUUCCAGAGCUCCAGACACGGCCAGAGAUGCAUGAGGAAUCUCUGUAUUCCCCUUGGAAGAUGCCUUGAUGAACAGAAAUAGCCGCUUUGAGCCCCAGAAUUAAUGCCGUUGCCACCACUAGACUCUAACUUCCAUGACGGCAGGGGCCAUGUCUCUUUCUGUUUCUCUCAUAUCGCAGAACCGAGUGCUUGAUAAAUAUUUUAUUAAGGGGAUGGACGAACGAACAGAUGAACUAAUGACCUGAAAACUUUUUGGUUCACUUCUUAAAGCAGCAAAGGCAGGCAUCGCCGAAGUCUAUUCGGGGAGCAGACCAUGUACCUGUGUACUGAGAAAUGGGUUAGGAAGGCAGACCUGGAGCUGGGGCAAAGGAGCCACCUAAAAGGCUUUUGGCUUCAGCAUCCAAGACGCCAAAGGUGUAGAUGAGAAGUGAGCCCAAACCUGUGCUCAGGGUUCAGCAAUGUCCAGUGCUCCACGAGGAGUUACGGAGGGUCUACCACUGGUUCACUUUGACAGCCAAGGCUGGGAAGGUGGGGCUCAGCCCGAUGGGGGUUCUCUCCUAGAGGUAGGGGGAGGGGAGAGUCAAAGGAACAGACGUGAGACAGCUCCUUGGCACAAGAAGCUGCCCCGACUGGGCUCUUAUUGGAGUAAAACCCUGUCAAGCAUCUGAGCCUAUUUCCUGAGUCCUGACACUCUCGUUCCCAUCCGUCCUUUCUUCCUUGUAAGAUGCCUGGUAGGAGCUGAGUCUUCUGCCAGCGGAGGGUCAUGGAGGUUGUCCUCACAGACUGUUAUUCUCAGCCUAAUCUGAGUGACACUGAGCAGUGUGACUUUCUGAGUCCCAGUGUGUUGCAAACCUGGGGGAGCGGGUCCCUGGGUCCCUGGAUCCCUUGAAUAAGGGGAGAGGGACAUGUCCUUGGGUUGGCAGGUGCUGCGAGUGGAGGGGGUACAAGCCUAAACGCCUGUGUGAACCCACUCCUUAGUUUCUGCUGGUUGGUGGAUUUUGAGUGUUGAUACUGUGUGGACAAAACAAUACAUUGUUUAGCUUUUUCUCUGUAACCAUUUGAUUCAGAAUUAGGUGAGAGUCCUAAACCCAGGAUCCAAGCAGAGAAAUAGCUAAUGACCAACGUGGAGGGACUUGAUAGGAACAGAUGCUAUUCAGGGCACCUGACAGCCAGCCACAAAUGGCAGUAACACAAACUACACUCCCCUCCCCCAUGUUGGCCUCCAGCUGGAAUCCCAAGAAGCCUGGAGCUCCGAGUGUCCAAAAUCACACUCCUCCCAUCCCCGGGUGUCCACCCUCUUGGUGACUAAGGCCACGAAGAGAUCUACAUGUCUGCGUGGAAACCCAUGUGUCACCUCCGUGUCCUUCUCCCCUUCAUGCCAUACCCAGCCACUCCCCGGGUCCUGGUGACCCUGCCUCCGAAAUGUCUCUCCAGUCCUUUUCCUUCCUUGCCGUCGAGGCUCCGGCUGUAUGAUCCUCUUUCGUUCCUCCAGUGUGUGGGCCACUGUCUGCAUUUCCCCUCCAGCCCAGCCGUCGUGGCUCUGUCAUUCCCAUUGCUGGCUAGUUCCUGCCCAUCUGUGAGGUCUGUUCAGACGUCUCUCCUUGCCCCCCAAAGCUGGCAGGGUCGGGGGUGGGGGGGCUUCCCCUGCAUCCCUCUUGUGUCCCCUCUUUUCCUCCGCAUGGCAGGUGUCAGGCCAUAUCAUCAUUGCCUGUUGAUUGUGUGACUUCAUUGCCUAGCACAGAGCCUCACACCUCGUGCGUACUUAGUAAAUGUUAUGCCAAGGUUGACUGAACAAAAACAAGAGAGAGAUUGGCUUGGCACCAAAUGAGUCUCUCAAGACCCGAGCGGUUCCCAGGAUGUAUAAAUGAGAAGAUUAUAACUUUCUGGGUAAUGAUAAUUUUAUUUCGAAUCCCCACCCUUCUUUGCUGUCCCUUCUCCUUUUCUUCCUCCUUUCUCUUUGGGCUUAUGUAUUUUCUAAAAUUUCUAUGAUCAACACAUAUUUAUUCUGCAGUAAUACAAGAAAAAAUGAGUCAUCGAUUUUAUCUCCACAAGGAGUGAAUUUUGGAGUUCCCAUCGUGGCUCCGCGGGUUAAGAACCCAACGUAGUGUCUGCAAGGAUGAGGGUUCGAUCCCUGGCCUCACUCAGCAGGUUAGGGAUCUGGUGUUGCUGCGGCUGUGGUGUAGGCUCUGAUUCAACCCCUAGCCUGGGAAUUUCCAUAUGCCAUCAACACAACCUUUAAAAAA